rnacentral:rRNA from 1 species
CGGUAAUUCCAGCUCCAAUAGCGUAUACUAAAGUUGUUGCAGUUAAAAAGCUCGUAGUUGGAUUUCUGCGGGGACGGAGCGGCCGGUCGCAACUUGCGACUCGAGCUAGCGCUUUCCCCGCAUCCUGCCGCGAACCGUGCUACCAUUAGCUUGGUGGCGCUGGGGAUCGGCUCGAUUACUUUGAGAAAAAUAGAGUGUUCAAAGCAGGCCACACGCCUUGAAUAAGUUAGCAUGGAAUAAUGACUAAGGACUUCGGUUCUAUUUUGUUGGUGUUCGGGACUGAAGUAAUGAUUGAUAGGGACAGUUGGGGCGGUCUGUAUUCCAAAGCGAGAGGUGAAAUUCUUAGACCUUCGGAAGACAAACAGCUGCGAAAGCGUUCCGCAAGGAUGUUCCCUUUGAUCAAGAACGAAAGUUGGGGGAUCGAAGACGAUCAGAUACCGUCGUAGUCUCAACUAUAAACUAUACCAGCUAGGGAUCGGUCAACGUUUAAUCAUUCGACUUGAUCGGCACCUUAUGAGAAAUCAAAGCAUCUGGGUUCCGGGGGGAGUAUGGUCGCAAGGCUGAAACUUAAAGGAAUUGACGGAAGGGCACCACCAGCCGUGGAGCCUGUGGCUUAAUUUGACUCAACACGGGAAAACUUACCAGGUCCAGACAUAGUAAGGAUUGACGGAUUGAUAGCUCUUUCUUGAUUCUGUGGGUGGUGGCGCAUGGCCGUUCUUAGUUGGUGGAGUGAUUUGUCUGGUUAAUUCCGUUAACGAACGAGACCCCAGCCUGCUAAAUAGCGCGGCUGAGCUUUGCUCGGUGCGAGCUUCUUAGAGGGACUAUGAUGCGCGAUAGCACAUGGAAGUUUGGGGCAAUAACAGGUCUGUGAUGCCCUUAGAUGUUCUGGGCCGCACACGGGCUACACUGGCGCCUGCAACGAGCAUAUCAGCUGGCCCGAGAGGGUCUUGGCUAAUCUUUUGAACCGGCGCCGUGCUUGGGAUUGACCAUUGCAAUUGUUGGUCAUGCAACGAGGAAUGCCUUGUAAACGCGAGUCAUCAGCUCGCAUUGAAUACGUCCCUGCUCCUUGUACACACCGCCC